AUACGUGCCAGCAGCCGCGGUAAUACGUAGGGGGCAAGCGUUAUCCGGAUUUACUGGGUGUAAAGGGAGCGUAGACGGCGAAGCAAGUCUGAAGUGAAAACCCAGGGCUCAACCCUGGGACUGCUUUGGAAACUGUUUUGCUAGAGUGCUGGAGAGGUAAGUGGAAUUCCUAGUGUAGCGGUGAAAUGCGUAGAUAUUAGGAGGGACACCAGUGGCGAAGGCGGCUUACUGGACAGUAACUGACGUUGAGGCUCGAAAGCGUGGGGAGCA
rnacentral:rRNA from 1 species